rnacentral:rRNA from 1 species
GAUGAACGCUGGCGGCGUGCCUAAUACAUGCAAGUAGAACGCUGAAGCUUGGUGCUUGCACCGAGCGGAUGAGUUGCGAACGGGUGAGUAACGCGUAGGUAACCUGCCUCUUAGCGGGGGAUAACUAUUGGAAACGAUAGCUAAUACCGCAUAAAAGUCGAUAUCGCAUGAUAUUGAUUUGAAAGGUGCAAAUGCAUCACUAAGAGGUGGACCUGCGUUGUAUUAGCUAGUUGGUGAGGUAACGGCUCACCAAGGCGACGAUACAUAGCCGACCUGAGAGGGUGAUCGGCCACACUGGGACUGAGACACGGCCCAGACUCCUACGGGAGGCAGCAGUAGGGAAUCUUCGGCAAUGGGGGCAACCCUGACCGAGCAACGCCGCGUGAGUGAAGAAGGUUUUCGGAUCGUAAAGCUCUGUUGUAAGAGAAGAACGAGUGUGAGAGUGGAAAGUUCACACUGUGACGGUAACUUACCAGGAAGGGACGGCUAACUACGUG